CAAGCUUCGGGUUAGGAGAACUUGAUCCCGCAGGUACAAACUUGGAGUAGACACCGACAGGCCGGGCUUCCUCCAAUCUACACCUCCACUCUAUCUCUCUCAAUCUAGUAGAAAAUAGAAGAUCUAUUUCUACUCACAUUGGUUGCUAAGCCUAAAAAGAAAUUUUAUUUAGAGAAGAGGUUUUCCUUUGAGCGCUCCCCUCAACUCUAUGAUAAACUUCUCUCCUCCAGGGGCUAGGGGGUCUGGUUUUAUAGUCCCUUCAAGUGAACGUGAGCCAUUGGAUCAAACCGACAUUGAUUGGAUGGUUAUCCUUGAUCCUUUAGGUUGGUGGAACAUCAUGUGCGAAAAGAGUCCCGAUUGGCAUCCAGAGGGGGGCGAGCGCCCAGGUCAACUGGGCGGGCGCCUAGUGCCUGGCCCCGUUCGGCCUCUACUUCCUUCUCGUGGCUUCUGGAGUCUUCUAGAUGGUAGAAAAUUGCGCGGUGCGUUGAUAUCUCUAUGUAAUCCCGACAUGUGGGCCUUUCUUCCUUAUUUCCUGAUAACCCCCUGCACAAACAGAUAAACAACAAAACUCUUGGAAUUCUGUUAGAUCAAACCCUAAUUCUAGGUGUUGGUUGCAUAUUGGUCCUUUCUUUUGUUUAUUUGAUAAUUAAAAUUGAUACUUAAGGACCGUCAACAAAUACCCCCAUACUUAGGCUUUUACUCGUCCUCGAGAAAAGGAUGGUUAAGAACAAUACUUGGGGUAAAACAUUCUUUAUAUUUGCAGGGUAUUAAAAUUCACCGUGUACUGUAGUCAGGGAAGUAUAUGAUUAAGAGUAAAGAUCCUUUCUUCUCAAUCCAGUUACUUGGAGUUUUGUAUAAUUUUGAAAGAAAGCUAGCAUACCUUUUUAUCCUCAUAGGUUCUCUCAGAUCACUCAUUAUCUUUUAUAUAUCUCACUGAGGUUGUUUUAAUUUGCAAAAAUUCUUAAGCAUACUUACUCUGCAUUUAUUGCCUGAUCAAAACGGGAUCCAAGGUGGGGAAUGUCAUACUCUUAGAUCAAAGACUUUGGAAAUUAAAAUCUUUGUCAACUCUUGCUGGCAUAUUGCUUAUUAGAGGGACCAUGGGCUAUCAUUUUCUUCUUUCUUUCUCUCUUCUUUUUUUUAUUUUUAAGUGGAUGCCGAGGUAUCCCUAAUUCUACUGCCGGACACUUGUCCAUUUUUCCUGCGAGGUUGUCGAGCACUUGCUCCUUUUUAUUUCCUCGAAAUAUCUUUAUUUUUGCAUAGCCCAUGCCUCUAAUGCAAUAAUACUUCGGAAGAGUGAAUCUUUCUGAAUAAAUGUCUUGAUCUUAGGAGCAUGAUAAAUCUCUCAACAAGGGUCUAACUCAUUUUAAACAACCUCAAUACAGAGUAGAUAGCUUUUAUAAUCAUAAUUAAUAUUUUCAGUUUUUAUCAGGCAUAUAAAACACUGAGGAUGGUAGUUAGAAUUUUAAAGAUUUUGAAAUAAAUUCUCCAAGCAACAAUGAUAUCAAGAAUAAGAAACUCUACCAUCUCACAUUUCACACUGUCUUAAGUAACACAGUGUUUUAAAAUGAUUUUAUAAUAAUUGCAAGUUUCAGGAAAUAUAACAGAUUGAGAUUAGUCAUGAUUAGAAAUAUUUUAAUCUUUUUAAUUUGUCAUGUCGGAAACAGUAUUCUGCAUAAUCCAAGAUAUGUGUAUGUAUAAAGUAAAGUGUGCAGAGUGUGUACCUGAAUCGUGGAGUGGUGUAGUCAGAGUGUGUUUGGCAUGUCGAGGGAUCUCCCCCAUACUUGUUUUCUGCUUUCUUGCACAAAAAAUAAAGUAGAGACAUACGAGACAUAAUAAUAAUAAUAAUAAUAAUAAUAAUAAUAAUAAUAAUAAUAAUAAUAAUAAUAAUAAUAAUAAUAAUAAUAAUAAUAAUAAUAAUAAUAAUAAUAAUAAUAAUAAUAAUAAUAAUAAUAAUAAUAAUAAUAAUAAUAAUCUUUAUUAUUCUUGAGGCAUUUAUUACAAAUAACUAGUAGCAAACUGACGAUAGUAGUAAACUGAUAAUAAUAGUAAACCUAAACCGAAUUUAAAGAUAGAUGACUAAGAUGCAUUGCCUCGCGGUGCUCUAAUUCCUUGAUCUUCUUGUUGGCACUAGCAAGAUCCUGCCUAAGACCUAGUAUGAUGGUGUUGUGGUUAGAGAGCUGCC
rnacentral:lncRNA from 1 species